AUUGAACGCUGGCGGCAUGCUUUACACAUGCAAGUCGAACGGCAGCGCGGGCUUCGGCCUGGCGGCGAGUGGCGGACGGGUGAGUAAUGCAUCGGAACGUGCCCAGUAGUGGGGGAUAGCCCGGCGAAAGCCGGAUUAAUACCGCAUACGACCUGAGGGUGAAAGCGGGGGACCGAAAGGCCUCGCGCUAUUGGAGCGGCCGAUGUCGGAUUAGCUAGUUGGUGGGGUAAAGGCUUACCAAGGCGACGAUCCGUAGCUGGUCUGAGAGGACGACCAGCCACACUGGGACUGAGACACGGCCCAGACUCCUACGGGAGGCAGCAGUGGGGAAUUUUGGACAAUGGGGGCAACCCUGAUCCAGCCAUGCCGCGUGCGGGAAGAAGGCCUUCGGGUUGUAAACCGCUUUUGUUCGGGAAGAAAUCCUCUGGGCUAAUACCCCGGGGGGAUGACGGUACCGGAAGAAUAAGCACCGGCUAACUACGU
rnacentral:rRNA from 1 species